rnacentral:hammerhead_ribozyme from 1 species
GCACUUCUGAGGAGUCCCAUAAUAGAACGAAAGAGUCGUCCAGUAC